CCAAUCGACAAUGGUGAACUGAUCUCCUACAUCGUCGUUGGGCUGGACAUGGAAUACCAGCCCCUCGUCUCCGCCAACAACGCCCACACCGACACCAUCAGCCUCGACGACCUCUUCGCUCAGAUGAGCAACUUUGAUC
rfam:Hordeum vulgare subsp. vulgare, WGS project CAJW01000000 data, contig: morex_contig_1577420